GAUGAUUUUUAUGUUGGUUUGUUUGUUGCCGAUUGAUUAAACUUACUGCUGUCUUCUAUUUUAUUGUUGAAGUGGGAUCAAAAUUUACAAUGCUCAAAGAAAUAGGUCUGGCCGGAAAUCAAUAGUGUGGCAAAACAUGGGGGGUAUUCCGGCACAACAAAAUGUGAAGGACUGUGGCAUAUUCAUCAUGCGGUACAUGAAGGAAAUAAUUGAGGAUAAGAAACUGGGUUUUGCUUCAAAGUGGCAGCGACGAUCCGAAUUGUUCUACACCCAAAAGGAUGUUGAUGUUGUGAGGUCAGAGUGGGCUAAGUUUGUGAUGAAGUAUCAUAUUGCAUAGCUGUGAUGGUUGUUCAAGGCAGGGCUCUUAUUUUGGUAUUUUGAUCACCUGCCUCCUGCUAGCUGGUUUUA